UUUAUAUGAUGAAUAUCAAAUGCAACGAUGAAUAACUAUGAUUAUCAAAAAUAUUACGAGCUUUUUAACUCUGAUCAAU